UCUGUAGGUGAACCUGCAGAUGGAUCAUUUC
rnacentral:rRNA from 1 species